rnacentral:rRNA from 2 species
ACUUAAAUUGAAGAGUUUGAUCAUGGCUCAGAUUGAACGCUGGCGGCAGGCCUAACACAUGCAAGUCGAGCGGUAGCACAGAGAGCUUGCUCUCGGGUGACGAGCGGCGGACGGGUGAGUAAUGUCUGGGAAACUGCCUGAUGGAGGGGGAUAACUACUGGAAACGGUAGCUAAUACCGCAUAACGUCGCAAGACCAAAGUGGGGGACCUUCGGGCCUCAUGCCAUCAGAUGUGCCCAGAUGGGAUUAGCUAGUAGGUGGGGUAAUGGCUCACCUAGGCGACGAUCCCUAGCUGGUCUGAGAGGAUGACCAGCCACACUGGAACUGAGACACGGUCCAGACUCCUACGGGAGGCAGCAGUGGGGAAUAUUGCACAAUGGGCGCAAGCCUGAUGCAGCCAUGCCGCGUGUGUGAAGAAGGCCUUCGGGUUGUAAAGCACUUUCAGCGGGGAGGAAGGCG